UACAGAGGUGGCAAGCGUUGUUCGGAAUUACUGGGCGUAAAGGGCGCGUAGGCGGUCUUCUAAGUCUUGUGUGAAAUCCCUCGGCUCAACUGAGGAACUGCACGGGAUACUGGAUGACUUGAGUUCGGGAGAGGGAAGCGGAAUUCCGGGUGUAGCGGUGAAAUGCGUAGAUAUCCGGAGGAACACCGGUGGCGAAGGCGGCUUCCUGGACCGAUUACUGACGCUCAUGUGCGAAAGCGUGGGGAGCAAACAGG
rnacentral:rRNA from 1 species